ACCUGAACCAUACCGGCGUCCCGUCUACGGGACGGUUCAUACUCAUUUGCGGCAUGUGGUAAAAACUGCGACGAUUCGUAAAAUAUAUUUUUUUUGUCAUAGGCAUGUCUUAUAUCGCCAGAAAGCAUGGAAUCUCGUUAAACUAAUUAUAAUAUGCAAUUUAAAAAAGCUAUUACGACGACCAAACACGGUGCAAUUGUUUCAGGACAGUCAACAAGAACAAAAUACUUUACUGUAGGCACUCGGUUUCAUUUUUCAUGUAUCACGGAAAAUAUUGUACUUACAUUACUGAACCUCCGCAGAUUUCUUAUCCCUCUGUUCCCAGAGAGGACGGGAAGCAUAUUUUUGCUUGGUAAAAUCCGUUUUAAUUUUCAUAGUAUCCAUGCGUCACAGAAUGAAAAAUGACUCGAUCAACAUGCAACCAAACUAUUCAUGCUAUCCAGACCGUAACACAAGUAUUUUCCCCGUGACAUUUGGUAUGUCUGUAAUGAUUAGACACUCAGGAAGAUAACUAGCCUUAUUCCGAGAUUCUACACAGCGAAUUGGCUGCGCAAUACCUCAGUAAACCCUAGUAGCGCGCCUCACGUUACGCACCAAUAAGAUGGACCAAGACAAACUUGAAGGACAAUAUCUUCCUCCAAUGACGACCAAUUAAUUUGAAACAUAGCUAGCUAGAUAGCCAAUGAGCUGGCCUUUCUUGUGAUGUGGGAAUGUGCACUGUGGGAAGAAUGGGCUGGAAUCUAGAGGUGUGCUCAACCAGACACCCCUGCAUCAUUUCGAAUUGAGAGAGCAUCAGAGCGCGCUAGUAUUUUCGUUACGCACAUUGUUGCUAGUACUUAGUAGUUACUUCUUCUUGUUAUUUCGAUAAUUUUAAACAUUUCGAAUUUGAACAUGGCUCCUAAAAGUGGGAAAGCGAAAUCCAAGACCAAGUACACAUACUUGGAGGAGAUUUUUGAGGAGAUUCAGCGAGAGAGUGACCGAGAGCUAGACAAGGACUCUCUUAGUGAACAAAGUUUUGAUUCUGGCGAGGAAGAAUUGUUCUUGGAAGGAAAGGAUCCCGUUUUAGAUUGUGGAAGCGACUCAGACUCGGAUGAUCUCUGGGAGCCGGCUGAAAGAGACAACCACAAUCAAGCAGUCCUGUCCUCACUACUUCAGGAGCAUCUACAUCUGCCAUUGUUUCUGGGUCUACAACAAGCACACCUUUUGUCUCCAAAAUCACUCCAGGUCCGAUGUCAUCCACACCUACCCCCGUCCGGCCAUCCAGAGGUGUGAAGAGACCAGCCCAGAGACAAAGACGGGCCAGUGCACCAGCUGACACCCCCACUGAGGGAGAGGACCGUUGGCACACAGUACUGGAGGAAGAUGUGGAGCCACGUCCACCCACAUUCAGGCCUAAAAGGCAGCCUGGACCUCAGCUGGACAUGACUGGGACAUACAGCCCCCUCCAUCUGUUCCAGCUGUUUAUUACUACCUCUGUUCUUGCGACGCUGGUGUCGAACACCAACAAGUAUGGGACUAAAAAGCAAGCUGGAAAAAAAGAGGCAUGGAAGACCAUUUCCAUCAAUGACAUGUACUCCUACAUAUCACUGGUCAUUUACAUGGGGAUUGUG